rnacentral:rRNA from 1 species
CAGCCGCGGUAAUACGGAGGGAGCGAGCGUUGUUCGGAAUUACUGGGCGUAAAGCGUGCGCAGGCGGCUUUGUAAGUCAGAAGUGAAAUCCCAGGGCUUAACCUUGGAAUUGCUUUUGAAACUGCUAAGCUUGAGUAUCGGAGAGGUUGGCGGAAUUCCCAGUGUAGAGGUGAAAUUCGUAGAUAUUGGGAGGAACACCAGUGGCGUAAGCGGCCAACUAGACGAUAACUGACGCUCAGGCACGAAAGCGUGGGGAUCAAACAGGAUUAGAUACCCUGGUAGUCCACGCUGUAAACGAUGUGUGCUAGCUACUGGGCAGUUUACUGUUCGGUGGCGCAGCUAACGCACUAAGCACACCGCCUGGGGAGUACGGUCGCAAGAUUAAAACUCAAAGGAAUUGACGGGGACCCGCACAAGCGGUGGAGCAUGUGGUUUAAUUCGACGCAACGCGAAGAACCUUACCAGGCCUUGACAUCCCGGUCGCGGGGAGCAGAGACGCUCUCCUUCAGUUCGGCUGGACCGGUGACAGGUGCUGCAUGGCUGUCGUCAGCUCGUGUCGUGAGAUGUUGGGUUAAGUCCCGCAACGAGCGCAACCCUUAUCUCCUGUUGCCAUCAUUAAGUUGGGCACUCAGGCGAAACUGCCGGUGAUAAGCCGGAGGAAGGUGGGGACGACGUCAAGUCAUCAUGGCCCUUACGGCCUGGGCUACACACGUGCUACAAUGGCGGUCACAGUGGGCAGCUAAGUCGCGAGACUAUGCUAAUCUCCAAAGACCGUCUCAAUUCGGAUUGUUCUCUGCAACUCGAGAGCAUGAAGCCGGAAUCGCUAGUAAUCGUGGAUCAGCAUGCCACGGUGAAUACGUUCCCGGGUCUUGU